GACGAACGCUGGCGGCGCGCCUAACACAUGCAAGUCGAACGAGCGAGAGAGAGCUUGCUUUCUCGAGCGAGUGGCGAACGGGUGAGUAACACGUAUCCAACCUGCCCUUUACUCGGGGAUAGCCUUUCGAAAGAAAGAUUAAUACCCGAUAGCAUAAUGAUUCCGCAUGGUUUCAUUAUUAAAGGAUUCCGGUAAAGGAUGGGGAUGCGUUCCAUUAGGUUGUUGGUGAGGUAACGGCCCACCAAGCCUUCGAUGGAUAGGGGUUCUGAGAGGAAGGUCCCCCACAUUGGGACUGAGACACGGCCCAG
rnacentral:rRNA from 1 species